AGCUUUGUGCAGUAGCAGUAUCGUAGACAAUGAGGUUUAUCCAAGCACAAUUAUUGCUAAUUGAAAACUUUUCCCAAUACCCCGCUGUGACAACUUGCAAUAUAGUCGACAUUGGCAAUUUUUGACAGUCUCUAUGAAGA
rnacentral:snRNA from 1 species